CCUUGCACCUAUGCAUGAUCCAAGGACUCGGUGCUUCCUUGUAAACAACCAUGAUCAACCUUUGCUUUUCUUCCUCAGUAUAUUCCUCAACAAUUUCCCUAGCCUGUUCCUCGACAACUUCCCCAGCCUGUUCUUCGACAACUUCCUCAAUAGAAGUUAGCUUGUCUUCCAUUUUCUUAGCCCUUCUUUUCAAAAUCCGCUGGUUCUUUUCAAUAUGACUCAUCCUUGAGCCUAGAGCCUCUAGCUUUGUCUCCACCGUUACGUGAAGUCCAACAAAUCCUUCUCCCAUGAACUCCAAAAUCCUCUCUUCCAGACCUUGCAACCUCGAAUCUAAACCAGAAUUAGAGGAUGAUCCUUCUGCAAACGUCACCUUUUCUUUGUCUUUAUUUUUUGGCAACACUCCUCGUGCAGCUUGAUCUAACUCAUAUAGCUCUUUCCACCAAAU
rnacentral:lncRNA from 1 species